rnacentral:misc_RNA from 1 species
AACGCAAAUUGCACUCUCUGGCAACCCGGGGAGUAUGCCUGUUUGAGGGUCAGUGUUAAUAAAAAUCGGGUGCGUUGCAAUUUUUGUGACGUUUCCGGAGUUUGAGUUAUCUUAAUUAACUUCGGUUUUUAAGAGGCUUAAAAUUGACCUUUUUUUGUGCAUUUUAGACGUACAUAAAUUUUUUUUUAUUCGUCCAUCCUAAUGCCAAAAUCUAUUAGAUGCGACCAUAUCUUGUGGUUCCGUGUCCAUAAAUUUUUCAUGAUUUGACCUCAAAUCAGGUAGGAACACCCGCUGAACUUAA